CUUAAAAAACUUUUUUAAUGAAAAUAUUGUUAUUUUAUUGAAUUUGUGAAGUAAAAAUCCUGGCCCAUACUAUUUUUUUGUGAUAAAAAUGUUGUAUAUUAAAUAGCAGUAAGUUGUUAGAGCAUUUUCUGUAGACAUUAUAUUUUUUUAGGAAUUUGAAAAGAUUAUAUAAGUUAGGAAACUGAUUUCAGUAAUGUUUCUUUUUAACAAUGUUUUAACCAGAAAAUGUCAAUAACCUAUGACCACCAAUUUAUUUUUGAAAUAUAUGUACUUGUUUUUUUAUACAAAUAUACAUUUUUAUUAUUUUACUUUUUAUUUAUCAUAAAUAUUUUGUUUGUUUUUAUACAUUGAAUCAGACUAAAAUGAAUAGAGAAAUAUAAUAAUAUGUAGAUUUCUGUCCAUUACUGUCUGUUAUUGCAUGGUGUAGUUAUCCAUUAAAUAUUGAUGUGAAACCAUGGAAAUACUGUAGUGUUAACAUUGAUGUGCAACCAUGGAAAUACUGUAGUGUUAACAUUGAUGUGCAACCAUGGAAAUACUGUAGUGUUAACAUUGAUGUACAACCAUGGAAAUACUGUAGUGUUAACAUUGAUGUACAACCAUGGAAAUACUGUAGUGUUAACAUUGAUGUGCAACCAUGGACAUACUGUAGUGUUAACAUUGAUGUGCAACCAUGGAAAUAAUGUACUGUUAAGAUUGAUUUGCAACCAUGGAAGUACUGUUAAUAUUGAUGUUUAAUCAUGGAAGUACUGUGAAUAUGUAUGUACAACCAUGGAAAUACUGUUGAUCAUAAUUUAUGUGCAACUAUGGAAAUACUGUAACUAUUGAUGUGCAACCUUGAAAAUACUGUUAAUAUUGAUGUGCAACCGUGGAAAUACUGUUAACCUUGAUGUGCAAUAGUAUAUAUUUGUUAUAUACAUACUACACAUUGUAUUAAUAUUUAUUGUUUUGUGACACAUUUCUCAUAUGUCACAUGUCACCUGACCAUAGGUUUUCAUCAUAGUGAGGGUGUCAAAAUGGAAAAGUGAAAAUAUUUUAACUGGAAAUAUGUUAAAAUCUUUUCAAUUGGUUGAUUCACUGUUAGAGAGGUUAGACAGAUGAAUAGAAAAAUGUCACAUGCUAUGACUUUCUAACUCUCCACUUUGAAACAGUCUCUAUUUCAAAACUUCUGUAUGAUAAUGGGAGUAAAAUAUGAUGUUUACCAUAAUGAGAGUUUAAUCAUGUAAAAAAAGGAUAUUUUCACUAAUCCUGUAUAUUCUACUAUGGUCAAUGUUUACCCACAUCAUAUAAAAAUAAGAAGAUGUAGUAUGAUUGCCAAUAAAACAACUUUCCACAAUAGACCAAAUGACACAGAAAUUAACAACUAUAGGUCACCGUACGGCCUUCAACAAUGAGUAAAACCCAUACUGCAUUGUCAGCUGUAUUAGUUCUUUUACUAUUAACUACUUACUAUCUAUUUGUGUAUGUGUAUUAUUGACUUCUUUUUAUUUUAUAAACAUUGAAAAUAGGGGCUUGGCAUUUUUUCUAGUUUUUUGCUGUUGCUUUUCUUUAAAGGGGAGGGGUAAUUGAAAAAAAGUUCAUUUGUUUAUGGAAAACUUUUGACAAGUUGAAAAAAAUGUUGUUACAUUGCUAACAAUUAACUUAUUAUGUUGAUUUCUAUCCAGGAUCUUAAAGGAUUUUAAUGUUUUUUUAUACAAGUGUAUAUAUUUAUUUACAAUCAGGGAAUACAUUCAAGUUUGAGCAGAAGCUCAGGUUUUUACUUCAAUGUAUUAAUUAUCUGUUUCUAUUAUUGUUAGUAUUUGAUAUUUUCAUUUCAUUUUCUGUUAUAAAUAAACUUUAUCUUUUUAA